GCUCCCGUGAUCUAGCAGCAAGGAGACCAGACUUUCAAUCUGAUAGCCCGGGCGCGAAUCCCGGCGGGAGCU
rnacentral:tRNA from 1 species